rnacentral:rRNA from 1 species
GACGAACGCUGGCGGCGUGCCUAACACAUGCAAGUCGAGCGGAGUCGAUCGACGGAAGCCUUCGGGCGGAAGAUGGUUGACUUAGCGGCGGAUGGGUGAGUAACGCGUGGGCAACCUGCCUCGAAGACCGGGAUAACAGCCCGAAAGGGCUGCUAAUACCGGAUGUGGUCAAGGAUCCGCAUGGAUUUUUGAUUAAAGGGGAAACCCGUUUCGAGAUGGGCCCGCGUCCUAUCAGCUAGUUGGUGAGGUAAAAGCUCACCAAGGCGACGACGGGUAGCCGGCCUGAGAGGGUGACCGGCCACACUGGAACUGAGACACGGUCCAGACUCCUACGGGGGGCAGCAGUGGGGAAUCUUCCACAAUGGGCGAAAGCCUGAUGGAGCGACGCCGCGUGAGCGAAGAAGGCCUUCGGUUGUAAGACUCUGUCUGAGGGACGAAGGAAGUGACGGUACCUCCGGACGAAGACCACGGCUAACUACGUAGCCAGCAGCCGCGGUAACUCAUACUCGUA